rnacentral:lncRNA from 1 species
CUAGUCACGCCAGUGCAAUUCCUGCUCUAAAUGGUCAGAAUGCUGGGGUUUUAGAACACAUAAGCCUAAUGCCUUGGGAUUCUCGGGUGCACUAUCCAUGAGUGAGUGAUGUAAGCCUGCUCAUCUGGCGCGCCUGCCUUGAUAAAAUAUCUAAUCGCCGGCGUCUGACCCAAAAACCACUGAACGUGACAGCAAGUCAGUCGGCGCAAAUGGGUUAAGUGGUAUUUUACUGUACCUGGGAUAUGAUGAGAUUUUAGUCAAAACUGAUAUUUCAAUCAUUAUUUUGUUUGUAGUUGGUUUACCGGAAGAUUUUAGGCAGUCAUCACAACUACCAGUAGGUUAAAUUUUAGAACAGAAUAUGUUAUCAUUGUAAAUACAAAUUUACAAAGAAUCAAGAGAUAAACAUAUGAGAAUUAAGAUCAGAAGAGAUGUAGUGAAACAGUUGAUGUGCAACACGAUUUUUCAGUAGGUUUGUUGAAGAGAUGAUUCAAUAUCUGUUAUUUUCUCGGCUUGAUGAGACAUAUCUUUGAUAUUAACAUCUUUGUAUCUGUAGCCUUGGGAACUAGGUAGAAAGAUAAUUUGAUGUCAUCUUUUGUGUUGCAGCAUAUGCUCUAGCAAAGCAAACUUUUGUUCCCAUCUAUAAAUAAGAUUGCCAUGAGAGAUGCUGAUAAUCCUUAACCCUUCUGCAUUGGGCAUGUUUAUUGGGGUAGGAUCACUUUUGUACUGGAUUCUUCUAAUUGUUGAAAUUACAAGCUAUUUAUUUCUUUUAAUUUAUGUAACUAUGUGUAAUUUAAUGCCAAUUAGUAUCACAGGGCUUAUACCAAAAAUAGACUUCUAUCAUACCAUAAAACUAUUGAAUAAUAGAAAACACAUCUUAAGAUGCCCACCCCAAGUUGCACAUCUUAAGAUGUGGCCUGUCCAGGAAGGGUUAAAAAGAAUUAGUUAAAUGUCUUUGUGGAGAACUGUGGCCAGGGCUCACAUCAAGUAAUGUAUCAGGCAUUAAAGCAGUAUAUUUUAUAGUUUUGUUUGGUAUUUAGUUUGAGUGUUGCAAAGUAUUUUAUCGUCAUUUAUGUGCUUCAUACCCAAUAAAAAGUUGAUUUCUGCUUUUCUGGAUAAAAGUAUUUAGUACAUGUGAAGUGGUACUGCAAACUAUGUAGAAAAUAGUUUUUGUGUGAUAAUUUUAUACUCAUCCAAUCACCAUUUGAUUUUUUUUCUUUUUACACAAUAAAUCAACUUUUGCACUUUCAUUGAUAUGAGAAAAUAUUUAUUUGUUAUAUGUCUUAUGAUUAACUACCAGCACACUAUCACUUCCACCCCACAUAACCAGUUAUGUAGCAAAUAUGUAUCCACCAUUUUCUACAUGUUCUUUAUUGUUAUACCAUCCAACUACCUAACAGUUCUUUAUGUGCUUCAAGCAAAUCAUCCUUCACCCUUUGCUUGGUGGUUUCAGUUUAUUUACAGGAAUACAGCUACCUGAGAUUUCUAUUGCAGUCUUUAACCCAUUCACACCGGUUCUUAUAUUUGUGUAAUGCUACUCCUGCCAGUUAGAUAACAAGUGUGCGCAGUGACUAAGCAUGAGAUCUCUCCCGGUGUGAUGCCGUGCUGUGCCUCUAUGAGCUCCUAUGAUAAUGUGCAUACGUAAUGAUGUAAAACCUGUUUUGAGGGUGAGAUCAUGACGUUGUUGGACAUCACUUGGAGGGACUGAAAUAUUUUGAUGACAUGAUUGGACAUCACCCGGAUUGAAUGGAUUAAAUUAAUGAAAUUCAAAAUUGUUCCCAAAUCUUAUGUGAAAUUUAGAUUAGCAGUAUAAGGAUAAGGAUAUAUGAUAUAUGUAUUUGUAUUUCUUGUUUGUAUUUCUGUUUAUUCUACCAAUUCAAGAAACAGAAAAAUCACAAGAAAAUAAUUUUGUCUGGUCUCUCACAUGUAAUCUCUCCUGAAAAAGGAACCAUCUUUGAAAUUUUUUGACCUUUGGUACUUGUGGAAAUCCUGAAACCUCCCUUCAUUGAGAACUUACCCCACUUGUUCUUCAUCAGCUCUCUUAUGGAGUGAGAGGAUUAUAGCAGAAUCUGAGUCCAACAUGAACUAUUUUCAGCAUAGCAGUCAUUGAUGUAUAUACUUGGGUUACUAAUAGGGGAAUAAUUUUUAGUCCUUUAUCCCCUCCUAUUUUAUUGCAUUUAUAUUUACUGAAUUUAACACAAGUUUGUGACUACCUGAACAGAUCACGUGGUUUCUCAAAAUUUGACAAAAUCAGCUUUACCAUACAACUAUCCUACCACCUCUAGCAGCCUAGCUUCUUUCAAGCUUGUUACCUGUUGGUAAAAACCAGCACAAAACUAGAAAUGUAUCGCCUUUUGUUAUGCAAGAAGCCAUAUCUGUUUUCUAAAUAUGUAUGUUAUGUCAUAGGAUAUUAAGAAGGUUUAUAAAUAGCACUUAAAUCUAAUUAUACCAAUAAUUUUGCUGAGUUUUUAUUGAUUUUAUUAGCACAAUAAUAAACACUUCUACCAGGUGAUGCCAUAACUCCCAUUCUGUUACUUAGAUAAAAUAGUUUAAAAUGACAGAUAUGAGCAGGAUAAUCUUAUUAAUUCUUUAACAACAUUGCCAUGAAUCUACAAGAAAGCCAGAAAGAAUUUCUGUUGAAAGAAUUUCAUGUAUAAGCAGCACCUUGAACGUCAAUCCUAUCACUUCCUAUCUAAUCCUACAGUUUGUAAGGGUGUUUUAUGAGCUAUUUUUUCAUAUGCAGAUAUCAUAGUCAUGCCUCUGCUGUGUUUGGCAAAACCAUACAUUUUGUCUUGUGCUUUAUCAUUUCAGUUAGGUCUUCCAUGCUAUGAUUCUGAAGAUUGCUUAAUAUGUAGAAGCAGCUGUUUCAGUUUUUGCUGCUGCGCAUUGGCAAUUUAUUCAUUCUGAUUUUAAUUUCUACCAUAUUAUUGGUGUCAUUUUACAAAACAAUAUGGCCACCUUUAUCAUUCUUAUUACUGUUAUUGAAAUUAUCAUAUGUAAUGUAGAAUGUAUGCAUCAUUUACUGUUCAAAAUGAACAGUAAAUUUUGUAAUUAUCAGAAUGAAUAUCCACUUAACAAAUUUUAUAUGUUCUAAGGUUUAAUUAUGCAAGCUUAAAAAGAGCAGAAAUAAGUGUAUAUAGACUAGGCAAGACUUUGAAGUCAGUGCUGUCUUGUCAUGCUAUGUCAAAGGUACAGAAUUAAGUGUUAUUAGUAUUAUUAAUGAAUCAUGCUGAAACUCUGUCUAAACUUUUGCAAAUUUGUAAACCUUUAACUAGAUGUUUCUUAAUUACAUAUUGUUUAUAACUACCAAUAUGGAGAGUCCUCUGCAUUAUCACUUAUCAAGAUAGCCUUAACUAGCAAUGUGCAAAAAAUAAAGUAAGUCAAUAUAUGCAACCAGAUAUUAGACUAGUAAAGAUUUGAAAAGUCAAAUGUGGAUUUAAUGAUGUAGGAAAAUAUUGUAAUGACUCAAGUGACAAUUAUUUCAUCAAGCUAGUUGUGGAAAACAUUAUUAUUUGUCAUCAAUGUAAUGAAAUGUCUUUUGUAGUGUAAAUAAAGUGUUUGUAGUACAUGGACCAUUGCUGCUAUGAAUAGCACACAAAUUUUGUUAUGAUUUUCUGGACAAUAUUUGUAAACCUGAAAGAAAGUCUGGAAGUCUGUGUUAUACAUUGAGUUUGAAAUAUAUGGUAUGAGUGAAGUGGUGACCUGACUAAGUACAAGUGAAAUAUUAUCAGAUUGUACCUCAAGAUUAACAUAAUCUGAAAAUUUUCAUGCGAAAUAGCAGAAAUCAACUAUGGUAUUAAGAUCUUGGACAAAAAUCCAGGUGAUAUGAACAUGCAAUUCUUGAUAUGUAGAAAGUUUAUAUGUAUUACUAUUUUAUAGGAUACUGUUGUAGCUCUAUAAGAAAAUUUGAUAAGAAGUACACAUGAAAAUUUAGAAAAAUAUUUUUAUUUUUUUGGUUAUUUUCUCUUUCAUGUAACAUUAUAGUUGUAUAUAGACGGCUUCACCAGAUUUUGAAACUGUAUCAAUAAAUGAUUUUCUGUUUAA